rnacentral:rRNA from 1 species
GAUGAACGCUGGCGGCGUGCUUAACACAUGCAAGUCGAACGGAAAGGCCCUGCUUUUGUGGGGUGCUCGAGUGGCGAACGGGUGAGUAACACGUGAGUAACCUGCCCUUGACUUUGGGGUAACUUCAGGAAACUGGGGCUAAUAUCGGAUAGGAGCUCCUGCUGCACGGUGGGGGUUGGAAAGUUUCGGCGGUUGGGGCUGGACUCGCGGCUUAUCAGCUUGUUGGUGGGGUAGUGGCAUACCAAGGCUGUGACGGGUAGCCGGCCUGAGAGGGUGACCGGCCACAUUGGGACUGAGGUAGGGCGCAGACUCGUACGGGAGGCAGCGGUGGGGAGUAUUGCACAACGAGCCGAAGCCUGAUGCAACAACGCCCCGUUCGGAAUGACGGCCUUCGAGUUGUAAACCGCUGUCGCCUGAGACGAGGCGUGAGUGACGGUAACGGGUAAAGAAGCACCGGCUAACUACGUG